rnacentral:lncRNA from 1 species
UGAAGAGUCUGCAAAAUUUGAAAAUCAUCAACAACAAAAACUGAACUCUCUCACUCUCAGAGGGUUUGAAGUAUCGGGGGUUUUCCUUCUUCCUUUCUUCCUUUCUAAUGGAGCUUCUUCAAGUUGAUGCGAAAAUGUUGAUGUCCCUUGUUCUGCUAGGGUUUAUAGGAUUGUUGGUGCGCUUGUACAAUGGGCUUGUGGCGAAGCCGAAGAAGCUGAGGUCCCUGCUAACCAAGCAAGGCAUUAGCGGACCCCCGGCUACUCUUCUUCUGGGAAACAUUAUGGAGAUAAAGAAUUCUCGAGGCUCCGGCAAUGUUUUCAGGGAGGGUGAAGCUCCCACCACUCAUAAUUGUGCUGCUCUGCUCUUUCCAUUUUUUGAGAAGUGGAGGAAGCAAUAUGGUAUUAUUACUGUUCGUUUUAAUAUUAAGUAUACAUGUUGUUCAUCUAUAUCAUUAUAUAGGGUAACGACCACAAACCCAGUCGAAACACCACAGACCGUCGUCAAACCCAGUCACUCGAACCAACCACCACUAAUUCAAACCCAGUGGAACCACAACCCAGUUGAACCCAAAUUGAACCACCACUGUCAAACCCAAUUGAACCUUCCGGAAAAUCAUCCACCACCGACCAUGGCUCAGUGGAACCAAAUGGAGAUUUGUGACUUCGAAGGGGAUCUGUGACUUCAAAGGGGAAUAAGAGAGAGAUCAGGGGGGGAGAGAGAAAAUGAGAGGGAACCAGAGAAAGUUUGGGAGGGGGAGAGAGAAAAGGAGAGAGAAGGAGAGGGAUAUCAAUAUGGAGGAGAGAAUAAAGCAGAUAGAACCAGAGAGUGAGUUCAGGAGGGAGAGAGAAAAACAGAGAGUGGGUUGUUGUGAGGGAGACUAACAGAGUGGAGGUAGCGUUGGGCCAUAGAAAAUUCAUAAUAAAAAAAUGACUAUGAAAACUCAUAAAAAAUUGCUAGUAUUUUCAGUGAGUCUUAAUUUAUUUAUUGUUUGUACUAAAUAAUUAGGUUAUCUGCAGGUGAAGUAUUUAUGUUUGCACUUGGCAACACACAGAUAUUAUAUGCGAACCAACCAGACACAGUGAGGGAGAUUACAACCUGCACGUCCUUGGACUUGGGAAAACCUACUUAUCAAUAUAAAGAGCGCGGCCCCUUGCUUGGUCAAGGUAUUUUAACUUCAAAUGGCGCCUCAUGGGCCCACCAGCGCAAAGUCAUUGCUCCUGAACUAUACAUGGAGAAAGUUAAGGUACAUAUAUAUAUUUUGUAUCGAUAUUGUGGAUAGUAUGUUUUAAUAUUGACAUAUUAUGGAUAAUGAUAUCGACAAUCCGUUCUUGAAUAAACAACGGAUGUCAUGUUUAGAGAAGAUUUGAUCUGUAUAUUACUAUAUAAUUCAUAGCAAAUGGUGCCAAGAAUUGUUGUGAUUGCAACCAUGGUAAAUCUUGCAGGGAAUGAUCAACUUAAUUACAGAGUCAACAACUACUCUGAUAAAUUCAUGGAACAAUAGAAUUGAGGCAGAGGGAGGAGUUGCCGACAUAAAAAUUGACAGCUACAUAAGAAGUUUCUCUGGUGAUGUAAUCUCAAGAGCUUGUUUUGGAAGCAACUACUCCAAAGGGGAAGAGAUAUUUCAGAAACUAAGAAAUCUCCAGGAGGCUAUGUCCAAGAAAAUCUUUUUGACUGGAGUUCCUGGAAUGAGGUACCUUAUAAUCACAAUUGGGGCUUAAGGUUUUCUUACAUAAAUUCAUGACCAAACAACUAAAAUUGGAGAAAAUUAGGGUAGAGACUUUGGCACUCUAAUAGAGAGUGUACAAACGACUAAUUUUUUUCUUUCUCAUUUUCCACUUGAAAGGUAGUUUCGCCUAUAGUUACUGUGAAAUAUAUGGUCAAUAAAUGUGUUACAUGUAGCUCCCCACAAUCCUAUAGUUAAUUGCUAUAAUAUAUUGUUGCAGACACCUUCCCACGAAGAGCAACAGGGAAGCUUGGGCAUUAGAAAAGGAGGCUAGCACUUUGAUCCUGCAAGUAGUCAAGGAAAGACAAGCAGCAGGAUAUGAGAAAGACCUCUUGCAAAUGAUUCUUGAGGGUGCUCGAAACACUGAUCUCAGCCCAGAAGCAACAGACCGCUUCAUUGUUGAUAAUUGCAAGAACAUUUACUUGGCCGGCUAUGAAACCACAGCGGUUUCAGCCACUUGGUGCCUCAUGUUGUUGGCUUCAAAUCAAAAAUGGCAAGAACGUGUCAGGGCAGAGGUCCUUCAAAUUUGCCAAGGCCAGAUUCCUGAUAACGAAAUGGUUCGCAAGAUGAAACAGGUAUACAUUUUUACACCAUUGAAGAAUUUAAGAUAUAAGAGUAACUAUCCUUCUAUACAUUGUUGUGAAUUGACUCGUCAUUAAGUGUCGGGAGGGAAAACGUGACAUAGAACAAAGUCUCUGUCAAAAGAAACUGUUAAAACACUUCUCAUCUUCCAUCAUGUUUUCGCUCUAGAGCAACUUACAGUCUAGCAACAUAAUAUGUUAAGGUUGUUAAACAAUCUGACAAGAUAAUAUUUUUCCUGAUUAAUUUACAAUCUAACAACAUGAUAUAUUUAGUUUGCCAAACAGUCUGACAAGAGAAUAUUUUACAUGUUGAGACUACUUUCAUAUGCAGAAAAUAUCAGUUAAUUAACAUAAAAAAAAUGACUAUUGUUGAAUGUGUGCAGCUAACAAUGGUGAUUCAAGAAGCACUGCGGCUAUAUCCACCGGUUACUGUGGUGUCAAGGGAGGCUUUCAAGGACAUGAAAUUUGGGGACAUAAAUGUUCCAAAGGGUUUCAAUGUUUGGACUACAGUAGUGACACUGCAUACUGAUCCAGAAAUAUGGGGCCCAGAUGCCUACGAAUUCAACCCAGAUAGAUUUGCAAAUGGGAUCACAGGUGCUUGCAAGCUUCCCCACUUGUACAUGCCAUUUGGGGUUGGGCCAAGGGUGUGUCUAGGGCAGAACUUGGCCAUGGUUGAGCUAAAGGUUCUCCUAGCCCUCAUAGUCUCCAACUUCUCCUUCUCACUUUCUCCCAAGUACAAAUAUGGACCGGCUCUUAGAUUGGUUGUGGAGCCAGAGCAUGGAGUUGAUCUCCUAGUGACGAAGCUGUGAGCUGUUUUAUUAGAUUGGCUCUUUUUUAACUAUAAACUUUCUUGAAAAAAAACAGAGCAAGGGUUAGCUUCCUGGCUGUCUAUAUUUUACAAGUUUGUUCACUUGUUUAAGCCUAUGUAGUUUGUUCACUUGUUUAAGCUUGCUAAGUCGAGGAUGUGCAACGAAGUUUGGGCCUAUAGGCCUCCAUCAUCUUGAAUAAGGAUGGCCUUCCGUGUCCUCCAACAAAUAUUUUGUCUAAUGCUGUCUGGGAGGCCUAUGGACGUGGUGGAUACUAGUGUUGCUGUGUCUUUCUUCUUCCCCUAAUAGUCUGUCUAUUGUAUUACAUUUUGGUUUUGUUGUCCCCCAUGUGGCAUGGACUUCCUUGUUUGUUGC